AUGUCCGAAUGCUUCAAUAGGGUGCUCAAAGGUGCACGUGGAUUACCCGUGACGGCAAUAGUUCAAUACACAUUUGACAAGAUGAAUGCGUACUUUGUAAAGUACUCGAUGGAAACCGAUGCACAGAUAGCGGGUGAGAACCCACGGAAGUACAAGUACAAGUUCCCACCCAAAGUUGAUGAAUGGUUGCUAUUUCAAUCACGGAAGGUGGACUCAGAAGAAGCUAUAUUAUAUGACAACGAAGAGUGGAAGUACGAAGUGAAAGAGCCAGGAGGAACCACAAACGAUGGCUGGCAACAGGGAGGUCGGGCUUUCAAGGUGUCGUUAACACAAUGUGAUUGCACUUGCGGGAGGCCAUUGUUGCUUCAUCUCCCAUGCUCACAUUUGUAUGCCGCCGGUCGCGUUAGGAAUGUGGACAUCAAUCACCCACGCACCGUGAGGGAGUCGGAGUUCUCAAUCAUGAUGGUCAAGAAAACAUGGGCUCCCCGCUUUCACCCAUACUUUGACCAAUCACAAUGGCCGGAGUAUCAUGGAGUUCAACUAUGGCCGGAUCCG
rnacentral:rRNA from 1 species